rnacentral:rRNA from 1 species
AACGAACGCUGGCGGCAGGCCUAACACAUGCAAGUCGAGCGCCCCGCAAGGGGAGCGGCGGACGGGUGAGUAACGCGUGGGAACGUGCCUCUUGCUACGGAAUAGCCUCGGGAAACUGGGAGUAAUACCGUAUGUGCCCUACGGGGGAAAGAUUUAUCGGCAAGAGAUCGGCCCGCGUUGGAUUAGGUAGUUGGUGGGGUAAUGGCCUACCAAGCCGACGAUCCAUAGCUGGUUUGAGAGGAUGAUCAGCCACACUGGGACUGAGACACGGCCCAGACUCCUACGGGAGGCAGCAGUGGGGAAUCUUAGACAAUGGGCGCAAGCCUGAUCUAGCCAUGCCGCGUGGACGAUGAAGGCCUUAGGGUUGUAAAGUCCUUUCAGAUGGGAAGAUAAUGACGGUACCAUCAGAAGAAGCCCCGGCUAACUCCGUGCCAGCAGCCGCGGUAAUGUCGAUAU